rnacentral:lncRNA from 1 species
ACCGAUGGCUCUAAUCCACACCUACACUUUCCUGUGCCUCGGCAUCAACGUCUUUCCUGUCUGAGUAUUUACUUGCUAGAAAACGUCUAGCAAGUACAGCGCCUGAAAGAUUGAGACCUCCGUUGUGUUCAGUCUCGGGUGAAUUACAAGUCUCUCUGAAAUGGCUGCUGAGUGCCAGUGAAGGAUGCCUUUCAGCAAGAUGGGGGAUUUCCAGCAACUUGAGGUAAAAUGGACACUGAGACAGAGCAGGCCUCACCAAUAGGCCUGGGAGUCUGGCUGCUCCUCGAAACACAUCCAUCUUUUGAAAAGAAAGGAAACUAUAGGUACUGGUUUAUUAUACCGACCUGUUUCAGCUUCAGCGUGGAUUCAUCAGGCGUUUCCCGGACGUUGUGUGCUAAUAACAUAUAGUUUCUAGCAAUGACUUUUUAAAAUUCGACACACCUGGUAAACUACCAGUUACACUGCACAUGUUACGACAUGUGAUAAGUGAAUAUUUUGUGGGGAAAGUGUCUACGUUGGUGUAUUCAUAGAAUGAGGAAUUGCCGUGGUCGUAGUAGUAGUCAUAAAAACUGUGGGCUUUGGGUGCCGGAUUCAACAGGUAUAUACUGAAGAAGGAGAAACCCACAUUCACUGUAAUAGUCUACGAUGGUGUAUUGACACAGAGAGAACCAAAGAUUACAUUGUGAUCCAGCGUCUAUUAGAAAACUUGAGAAACGGACUGGAGGUGAAUGGUCCAUUCGGAUUGUUUGCUCAUAUUCAAUAUUGUAGCCAGAGAGGUACACUGCCACAGUGCUGCCGACACAUCUGGGCCUUAUUGUAUUUCUAUCUAGGGUGGAGAUACAGAGACAACAGAACAUCCAGCCAACAUGUUGGAGAAGACAUACCACAAGAGGAUUGUUUUGGAAACAGAAAGAUCAUGCACAUCCAAUCUGGAGGUAAUCAUAUCUACCUACGGGGGAAGGAUGGCCAGCCACACAGGAGGGUGAUUUUUGUUAAGGAGGAGAAGGAGGCCGUGCUGACUGUGAUGCUUGCUGGCCAAUUCGGAGUGAAGCGCCUGAUUGCCAAAAUCAACCUACGCUUCUUCUGA